CCGGAUUCCGAAGCCCGGAGCCGUUUACAGUUUGAGGCGCCGUGUGCCGCCCCCUGGUGGCCGGAGGCCGUUACUGUCGCGGCUGAGGGGGCGUCCCGGUGUAUCCGCAGCGCGCCCUGGCCGCCCUCUGGUGGCCGGAGGCCGUUACUGUCGCGGCUGAGGGGGCGUCCCGGUGUAUCCGCAGCGCGCCCUGGCCGCCCCCUGGUGGCCGGAGGCCGUUACUGUCGCGGCUGAGGGGGCGUCCCGGUGUAUCCGCAGCGCGCCCUGGCCGACCCCUGGUGGCCGGAGGCCGUUACUGUCGCGGCUGAAGGGGCGUGUCCCGGUGUAUCCGCAGCGCGCCCUGGCUGCCCCCUGGUGGCCGGAGGCCGUUACUGUCGCGGCUGAGGGGGCGUCCCGGUGUAUCCGCAGCGCGCCCUGUCCCGCCAUAUACAUUCCGUGCUUUUCAAACACCCGCCGUGGGCUAAGCAUGGGACCCACGUGGGGCGGGGACACACGGCGAUAAAGAGCCAGGCCCUCGCUGCCAAGGAGCUUUCCCGUAACACCGAUGCAUCAAACAAAAGUUGAUAGGCCACUGAGCUAUGGGCAGCCACAUGUGUUCCUGAUGGAAGGGACUGAGUAUCUCCCAGAGAUCCUGGACACGAGGAGACAUGCUGUGAGUGGAUGUCUGGAAGCCAGUCCUGAGAGAGAAGACUCUAAAUCCAGAAUUUCUUCAGGCAUUUCAAACAUUUCUAUGUUGUGUGCAUUAUAUAAACAACACCUAUAUAACUUGUCUUAAGAAAAUAAAAGCAACAAGAUUAACUGA
rnacentral:lncRNA from 1 species